AUUGAACGCUGGCGGCAGGCCUAACACAUGCAAGUCGAGCGGAUGAAGGGAGCUUGCUCCUGGAUUCAGCGGCGGACGGGUGAGUAAUGCCUAGGAAUCUGCCUGGUAGUGGGGGAUAACGUCCGGAAACGGGCGCUAAUCCCGCAUACGUCCUGAGGGAGAAAGUGGGGGAUCUUCGGACCUCACGCUACCAGAUGAGCCUAGGUCGGAUUAGCUAGUUGGUGGGGUAAAGGCCUACCAAGGCGACGAUCCGUAACUGAUCUGAGAGGAUGAUCAGUCACACUGGAACUGAGACACGGUCCAGACUCCUACGGGAGGCAGCAGUGGGGAAUAUUGGACAAUGGGCGAAAGCCUGAUCCAGCCAUGCCGCGUGUGUGAAGAAGGUCUUCGGAUUGUAAAGCACUUUAAGUUGGGAGGAAGAGCAGUAAGUUAAUACCUUGCUGUUUUGACGUUACCAACAGAAUAAGCACCGGCUAACUUCGUG
rnacentral:rRNA from 1 species